rnacentral:rRNA from 1 species
CGGAUGUUAGCGGCGGACGGGUGAGUAACACGUGGGUAACCUGCCUGUAAGACUGGGAUAACUCCGGGAAACCGGAGCUAAUACCGGAUAGUUCCUUGAACCGCAUGGUUCAAGGAUGAAAGACGGUUUCGGCUGUCACUUACAGAUGGACCCGCGGCGCAUUAGCUAGUUGGUGGGGUAAUGGCUCACCAAGGCGACGAUGCGUAGCCGACCUGAGAGGGUGAUCGGCCACACUGGGACUGAGACACGGCCCAGACUCCUACGGGAGGCAGCAGUAGGGAAUCUUCCGCAAUGGACGAAAGUCUGACGGAGCAACGCCGCGUGAGUGAUGAAGGUUUUCGGAUCGUAAAGCUCUGUUGUUAGGGAAGAACAAGUGCGAGAGUAACUGCUCGCACCUUGACGGUACCUAACCAGAAAGCCACGGCUAACUACGUGCCAGCAGCCGCGGUAAUACGUAGGUGGCAAGCGUUGUCCGGAAUUAUUGGGCGUAAAGGGCUCGCAGGCGGUUUCUUAAGUCUGAUGUGAAAGCCCCCGGCUCAACCGGGGAGGGUCAUUGGAAACUGGGAAACUUGAGUGCAGAAGAGGAGAGUGGAAUUCCACGUGUAGCGGUGAAAUGCGUAGAGAUGUGGAGGAACACCAGUGGCGAAGGCGACUCUCUGGUCUGUAACUGACGCUGAGGAGCGAAAGCGUGGGGAGCGAACAGGAUUAGAUACCCUGGUAGUCCACGCCGUAAACGAUGAGUGCUAAGUGUUAGGGGGUUUCCGCCCCUUAGUGCUGCAGCUAACGCAUUAAGCACUCCGCCUGGGGAGUACGGUCGCAA